UUCCUGAAUAGAGCAUUGGCCUUUUUGUAUAAUAACAAAUGAUCCUGAUCAGGACUCUUAAAGCGGUGUCAAGUAACCUUAAAGAUGAACGGCGGUUUACAACUAUCUUCGGGAAAUUGGCAAAGCAAAGAGAAAGCCGUCUGCCAUUACAAUUAGUAUAGACCGUAUAAUAUUUCUCUGAAAAACCUAAUGACUCUAUCAGAUGAUAAAGAGGAGGUCAUGCAGCCUGAUUUAUCACUAUAACACUAAGUGACAAAUUGAAAUCCCCAAUGCGUUUACUAUAUUAGUUGAUAAAUACUUUUCGGCGACAUCACAAAAACGGGCAGCAUGUUCCUUAUAAAUAGAGAUAUUCGCGUUUGGUGGAAUAUAAGAGAAAGUUACGUAUAACUGUUUACUAGCAAUUUUCGCACGAAUGGCAAUAAAUUCAACGUCGCCACCCCUGUGAUACGAAGAUAAGAUUCGCAGGUAUAGAAGUUUGAGUUGGCGAUAAUAUAGAGGAAGUGACUGCAGUUGUUUGUUCGACUUGCCAAGCGUGGGGAGCAGCGGGCACACUCGAACAGCUAGUGGGAGAAGCAGGUUUGUUAUAUUUAUUAAUAUUCCUUGCAGAUUUAGACAAAUUAGCAUGAAUGGUGCUACUGAGAGGAGAUGCCCUUGCCAGCUCAGCUUAAAUGAAACGUUGGUAGCUUCCCAGCAUAAUUGUGAGUUUAAUAAUAUCUGGUCUGUCAAAAACAAAGGAAAAGCUCUCGUUCUUUGUAGACAAGAAUAGAGCACCCGAAUGAAUUUGAGUUUUGACUUCCGUCAAAGACGGAGGUGGAAUACUGCACGCUGCACUACGAGUUGAUCUUUUACAGGUGAGAACAUGAGUGCUGUGUAUAACGACACUCACCGUAAUCUUAAUUUUUUCAAACUUUCAACAUAACGUCACGAGAUGUUUACUUAAUUUAGAAAAACUGCAAACGCCGCGAACUAAUUCAGAUGUUUGCUAGCAAUAAGACGCAGAAAACAAAAAAGAUACUUUUUGUCGAGGGCACCCAGAGCUGAUCGCAAAAACAAAAAUGGUGUCAACACAAAAAGCUCAAUUUAUUAAAAUAAGCAGCUAACUCAAAUUUUCCGGAUCUUCCCAUAAAUGGAUGUUGGAGGCAGUCUGAGGAAAGAGCUUACCUGGAAAACCAUUGGGCUGGGCAUGAUAGCAAUGAUCGGUUGCUUCGUAAACGGUAAAAAAGCUUAAAGUGCCAAAAAACACAUCCUUUCGCUGAUAGUGGGAGCCCCUAGAGCCUUGGCUGAUGACAUCUUACUGAAGUUCCGCGGAUCCCAAAAACAAAGAAAAAAAAAAGGAAAUCCAUUGCAAGCCAAGAAACAUUGUGGACAGAUGUAGUGGUUUCUAUAAAGGUCGCUGGGCUAUUCUACAAGAGACGCGGAUGAGCUGCUACAGGCCAAAGAAGCUGGGAAGAGUCCCAAAGUUUGCAGGCGACAUCACCUUGUGUUGUUCGUUUACCUUCAGUGGGAGAUGAUGCAUCAACGAUAUACAGAACAAACGCUGCAUGAUGAAUGACGCGCCAAGUCGGGACAUCAUGACAAUAUAAAUAAGGUAAGCUUUAAUUUUACCAAAACCCCGUAGCGACCUCCUAGCGCAGGGGAACAGUGAUGAACAAGUCCUCCCUUUGUGGUGGUGUCAAUAUAGAAGAAUUGGCAACCCUUCAUGUUCAUGGAGAGAAAAUGUGUACGCUGUGUGCAGAACUCUAGACAAUUCUCGGCUGCGUUACGCUUAUGUGCUAAUACAUUCAGGGCAAGUAUUCAACAGAGAUAAAAGAGAUUAGUCCACUCAAUAAAUUUUUCCUCAAUUUCGCGUGUUUUUCAGCAUUCUCAUCUUUUCGCCGUUUUUAACUACGCCGUCCCCCUUUGAAACUUCCCGUCAUGCAAUUACUAACGAUGAAGGAAUGGUUGCUAUGUACUGAAUCUCGUGUCGCAUCGAUCAAGAGAAAAAUAAUUCCACAUUUAGAGUUAUGUGCCGCACAUUUGAGCGAUCAACUGAUGACCCGCGCUGUUUGGAUUGUCUCGACAAGUCUAUCUUUAUUCGUGGAAAACGGGUACUCGAAUAAAGGAACUCUUCGACAAGAGCAUUCAAAGGGUAACCCUGCCGGCGGGUUCCAGAGAUUUAAUAACUGAAGAUCUAAAGAUCUAAUGGCUGGAGAGUGACAUAUUUUCUUUGAUUCUUCGGCCAAUUAUUCUUAGAUGAACACUCUUUUCUUUUACAUAGCGUAUUCAGGCUGACCUUCCAGCGAAAUAUGUAAACAACAGGCAACUGGUUGCAAUUCAAAAACAGUACUAUACUUCAAUUCAAAAUUACAGCACGCACUAUUCAUCAAAAUCACAGCCCUAUAGUCAGUUUAUAAUUCAGAGUUAAAGGAACCCCAAACGCAUGAAUGUGUUCACAGAUGUAGCCAGCUAAGCCUACUCAAACCCUCUUAGGAUUAAAGGGGAAUUAUUUCGAUUAAGGGACGCUUGCAGUCAGUAGCCAUUUUCUAUUGGAUCCUAUCCAGUCCUAUUCACACACAUACGGCAACUAGCUACUAUUGUGGUGAAGAAGCUACAGUACAACUAAAUUAAUUGCACGAUAUAUAGUGUAGCGUUACUUUUGAGGCAGCAGAUCAAAAGCAAUUAGGUUAAUGAAGCAAAUUAUGAAAGACCUUACUUCAAACAAAGAACAAACUCUUCGGCUAUUCCUCAAUGCUGCAAUUAAUUUUGGCGAUCCUUUCAAUAAAAGCUUAUAGAGCGAUAUUUCGCUGCUUUGCUACAAAAGUUGAACGCCUCGAGGAGGCUAGUAAGUACACACAACUGAGGCAUUCAUCGCAUGCCUAAAAAGCUUCGUCAGUAGGCGCUGAAAAUUUCAAAAUCUAUAGUUUGCUAACGCAACAAAUUUGUUUGGCGCAAAAAUGACCUAAUAGAGUACGGCAAUAUUCCUUUCAGAGAAAAAUAUAGAAUACAAAUCACAAAAGGAGCAUCCAAUUUCGCUUCAUUCCACCAAAAUAAACCAAUCCUUUUUUUUCAGAGAAUUGGCAAUGCUGCUGUUCACGGCACAUUUACGUAUACGAUAUGAAUAUUUACCGUAAAAUUUUUAACUAUUUGUUUAAGUUAAUUACAAGUUGUUUUGCUUAAUUAUAACAUAGUCUGCAAGCCUUAAUUUGUUCUGACGCGCCAACAAAUUUUUCACAGAAGUUUAUAUUGUAACAAAAUAAAGCGGAUUACUAAAUAAGUCAUUUUCAUUUAAUUUUUCGUUUCGCUAACAGCUUAAUGUGUAGAAUCGCUUGCACAAUUCAUUGCAGCGUUAUGGACACACAAGGAAAAUUCACGAAUUCUUAUCCUGUUCGAACGGCUUUCGCAUUGGUGAGCACCUCACGGAGCUGACUGAACUCGACCAAAAUUUGCUUCACAUUUAAAAUCGGGACUUUGUAAACAUUGACCAAUUGAAAAACUAAACGGAUUUCGGUAUGGGUUCAAAUGAAAACGACAGACCAAAAAUCGAAAACCCGUUACAACGGUCAUAACAAAAAAAGAAAAUAUACCUCAAUGUUUGAACAGCCAUAUUGGCAACAUAUCCAGGGAAUGCCAGAAACGUGAGAGUGGUAAUGUUGGAUCAGUCACUGGCAUUUUUAGACGUGCAGCCCACCGACUGGUUCGCCGAGAGUCACGGACGAAAACCCAUAAAAGUGCACGUUAAUAUUGUAUAUAUAAGUUUAUUAGUUACAAAGUGCAUUUCGAACAUAACUAUUAUACAUCAUAAAGUUAUUCAACCUGCAGAUAAGUUUAACGAUAUCAACAUACAUUAAAAUCCGAGAGAGUUUUAUGAUAUUUGGUGAGUCAUUUGUAAACAAUAUCAACAAAACAAGUUCAAGAUGACUACGUUGAGGCAUUGCAAAGUGUACUACGGCCUCUUUAGAGGGUAGAUUAUACAUGUUGAGUCGUUCGUUUCGAUAAGAACAUAUCCAUUUUGCGAAAUAUUUAUUAAACCCAAUGUCCUCGAAUUUAUUGAGGGCUUUUACAUGAGAGCCAUAAGCGGUUAAUAAUGAGUUCAGAGAAAUAUAUAUCAGGAUGUUGUAGUUUACUUAACGUAGAGAACAUAUUCAAUUAAGCGAAAUAUACAAAAACUAAAAUAUUUAGAAAAGAAAAAUAAAGAAAAUUUAACGACAACACUUUAAAGUGUCAAUUAUCAGCCAUGAAAAACAAAUCGGAUAAAUGAAAUAACGUCGCCUAACCAAUAACCUGAUUUAAUGCAAGCAAUUAUAAUGUCCGAUAGGUUAAGCAAACUUAUAAAUAAUGCAG